rnacentral:misc_RNA from 1 species
GAUGAAGAACGUAGCGAAAUGCGAUAAGUAAUGCGAAUUGCAGAAUUCCAGUGAGUCAUCGAAUCUUUGAACGCACAUUGCGCCCUUUGGUAUUCCGAAGGGCAUGCCUGUUCGAGCGUCAUUAUCACCCCUCAAGCCCUCGGCUUGGUGUUGGACGGUUUGGUGGAGGCCCCCUCGGGGGCUCCUGCCCCUCCCAAAGACAAUGACGGCGGCCUCGUUGGACCCCCGGUACACUGAGUUCUUCACGGGACACGUAUCGGACACAUGGGUUUACGGGACACGGUCUGCCUCCCCUCAGGGAGAAUCUUUCUAAGGUUGACCUCGGAUCAGGUAGGGAUACCCGCUGAACUUAAGCAUAUCAAUAAGCGGAGA